rnacentral:rRNA from 1 species
UACGAAGGGGGCUAGCGUUGCUCGGAAUCACUGGGCGUAAAGGGUGCGUAGGCGGGUUUUUAAGUCAGGGGUGAAAUCCUGGAGCUCAACUCCAGAACUGCCCUUGAUACUGGCGAUCUCGAGUUCGGGAGAGGUGAGUGGAACUGCGAGUGUAGAGGUGAAAUUCGUAGAUAUUCGCAAGAACACCAGUGGCGAAGGCGGCUCACUGGCCCGAUACUGACGCUGAGGUGCGAAAGCGUGGGGAGCAAACAGG